rnacentral:rRNA from 1 species
CCAUGGGCGUAAGCUACCGUGCGCGUCGAGCGGAACGAGUUGUCUGAACCUUCGGGGAACGAUGACGGCGUCGAGCGGCGGACGGGUGAGUAAUGCCUGGGAAAUUGCCCUGAUGUGGGGGAUAACCAUUGGAAACGAUGGCUAAUACCGCAUAAUAGCUUCGGCUCAAAGAGGGGGACCUUCGGGCCUCUCGCGUCAGGAUAUGCCCAGGUGGGAUUAGCUAGUUGGUGAGGUAAUGGCUCACCAAGGCGACGAUCCCUAGCUGGUCUGAGAGGAUGAUCAGCCACACUGGAACUGAGACACGGUCCAGACUCCUACGGGAGGCAGCAGUGGGGAAUAUUGCACAAUGGGCGCAAGCCUGAUGCAGCCAUGCCGCGUGUAUGAAGAAGGCCUUCGGGUUGUAAAGUACUUUCAGCAGUGAGGAAGGUGGAUGUGUUAAUAGCACUUUCAUUUGACGUUAGCUGCAGAAGAAGCACCGGCUAACUCCGUGCCAGCAGCCGCGGUAAUACGGAGGGUGCGAGCGUUAAUCGGAAUUACUGGGCGUAAAGCGCAUGCAGGUGGUUUGUUAAGUCAGAUGUGAAAGCCCGGGGCUCAACCUCGGAAUUGCAUUUGAAACUGGCAGACUAGAGUACUGUAGAGGGGGGUAGAAUUUCAGGUGUAGCGGUGAAAUGCGUAGAGAUCUGAAGGAAUACCGGUGGCGAAGGCGGCCCCCUGGACAGAUACUGACACUCAGAUGCGAAAGCGUGGGGAGCAAACAGGAUUAGAUACCCUGGUAGUCCACGCCGUAAACGAUGUCUACUUGGAGGUUGUGGCCUUGAGCCGUGGCUUUCGGAGCUAACGCGUUAAGUAGACCGCCUGGGGAGUACGGUCGCAAGAUUAAAACUCAAAUGAAUUGACGGGGGCCCCGCACAAGCGGUGGAGCAUGUG